UACGGAGGGUGCAAGCGUUGUCCGGAUUUAUUGGGUUUAAAGGGUGCGUAGGUGGCCGUUUAAGUCAGCUUUGAAGCUGGUCGCUCAACGAUCAGGGGUGGGUUGAUACUGGACGGCUUGGAGUCAGGUGGCGGUUUCUGGAACGGGUCGUGUAGGCGGUGAAAUGCAUAGAUAUGACCCAGAACGUCCGAUUGCGAAGGCAGGAGCUAGCGCCUGGACUUGGACACUGAGGCACGGAGAGCAUGGGGAGCAAACAGG
rnacentral:rRNA from 1 species